rnacentral:snRNA from 1 species
AGCUUUGCGAAGUGGCAGUAUCAUAGCCAAUGAAGUCCAACCGAGGCGUGAUUAUUGUUAAUUGU